UGGUUGCCGCAGGCCUAAGGCUGAGGCAGUAAAAGGGAACCCGGUGCGCCGUACCCAUUAGGGAGCAAAUCCGGGGCUGUACCCGCAUCUGUGUGCGGUAGGGGUGCUCAUUAAACGCCACUGGGGUUGCCGUUGUGCACAAUCCUGGGAAGGCGAGCACAUUUAACCCGAUCACCGUGAGCCAGAAUACCUACCAGGCAUGUUG
rnacentral:ncRNA from 1 species